GAUGAACGCUGGCGGCGUGCCUAAUACAUGCAAGUCGAGCGAAUGGAUUAAGAGCUUGCUCCUAUGAAGUUAGCGGCGGACGGGUGAGUAACACGUGGGUAACCUGCCCAUAAGACUGGGAUAACUCCGGGAAACCGGGGCUAAUACCGGAUAACAUUUUGAACCGCAUGGUUCGAAAUUGAAAGGCGGCUUCGGCUGUCACUUAUGGAUGGACCCGCGUCGCAUUAGCUAGUUGGUGAGGUAACGGCUCACCAAGGCAACGAUGCGUAGCCGACCGGGGAGGGUGGACGGCCACACUGGGACUGAGACACGGCCCAGACUCCUACGGGAGGCAGCAGUAGGGAAUCUUCCGCAAGGGACGAAAGUCUGACGGAUCAACGCCGGUGGAGUGAUGAAGGCUUUCGGGUCGUAAAACUCUGUUGUUAGGGAAGAACAAGUGCUAGUUGAAUAAGCUGGCACCUUGACGGUACCUAACCAGAAAGCCACGGCUAACUACGUGCCAGCCGCCGCCGUAA
rnacentral:rRNA from 1 species